GAAGUUCGAGGGUAAUUAGAUGGUUCUCGCUCCAUCGUCAAUUCGAGCUAUCAAGGUAGUGUUAGAUGAACGGGUACACGUACAGGCAUAUACAGGUAUAUCCUCACAACGUCUUGAUAAUUAAUGCCGUUGCAGUCAAAUUGUGUUCACAUUAUUCACUGUCCCCUUCUCAUUCCUUUUUCCCCCACCAUUUCGUCCGCUUGUCUCCAAAUACUGUCUCCCAUUGUCUCUGUAUCCACGACGAUUAACUUAAUCUUCUUCCCCUUAUUCCUUUGGUGAAAGUAAUAGCACGGUGUUAUCUAUCAGCAAGAGAUUUCGCUUUAAAGAAUUUUAUCUCAUUUGAAUAUAUCAGAUUUCCAAAAAUUAGAACUUUCGAUGGUUUGAUCGAGAAAACGACAGCAAAGUUUUAGGAACGAUUUCAUAGUCGGUUGGUUCGACGAAAUGAAAGUGAAAGAGAACGAGCGAACUAGUGAGAGUGUGUACAUGUAAGAGAGGAAGAAAGAGAGAAAGAGAGAGAGAGAGAGAGAGAGGUGCAAUGUUUCGAGUUUAAGCGGAAUCCUUCUCGGUGUCGGAAUCCAGACAAUCAAUUGCAAACGGCAAUGCAUACGGUGUGCUGUAUCGAAAUGCAACCGCCGAAACACGAUGUAUCCUACAUUAUUACGGAUCGACGAAUUUGCACCCUAUACGUUCAGCGUAAUCAAUUCCAAUUCCCUAGUCGGUCCAACGUGACGGCAGCGAAAUAAUUUACGGAUAAUGAGGACGCUACGUGGUGCCCGAACGACCUGCCUGUCUGCCUGCCUACCUGCCUGCCUGCCUGCCUGCCUGCCUGACUCUACUGUACUGAGCGUCCUACGAUGGACGGGUGAUACGCAGUUAAUCAACUGGAUGGACAUGCCGGGACGUGAUCAAUCCCGCAACCCACUGAAAAAUUAUCAACUACCGUGUUCUGCCUUCAAAAGAAGAACGUCGUCCGAUUUUUAUUCUAUUCACGAUCAAGUCAUUAUAUAUAUCCGCAAAGAAUGCGAAUUAUCUCAUAGUACUUUUUGCAAAAAUGAAAAAGGCAAGACGAAAUAAAAAAAAAUAAUCAAGUAGAGUAUUAAAAAACGUUUCUCGUUUUUGCUGGUAAAAAAUUCUCAAAAGAAAAUUUGGAACGCACAACAAAUAUAUAUGAUAUCGAAACGAGAAAGAUCUGAGAAGAAUUUUUGUAUGUUCAAAAUCUAGUAUGAAUAUGUCUAUUAUGAUAAAAAAUGAUGUUAAUAGACAUGUCAAGACAUUAUUUCUGGAUUCUUAGAUACGUACAAUCUAUGCAUAUAAGAGAAAUCGUAACUAAUAUGGAUCUAAUAAAUAUCUUUCAUUAUAGCAUCAAUUAGUAAGCAACAGGCAACAUCAAUAUUUUGAAACAAUUUAA